AUUAGAGGAAUUUAUCGAUGGCCAAAAGCUAGCCGAUAACAAGCAAUACAGUGGAUUUUGGUCAACAAGAACAACGAGAUUGCAUCAGAUAAAAAGCUCUCUGAUAGAACACCGGCGAUAACUUCCAUCAUUUGUUCUGAUCGUUCCCAAUCCAAUUCAGUCCAGUGGAACUGCGAAAGAAAAAUAUCCCCGAAAGUAGGAAAGCCUCCGAAGGAACUGACUAGAAUAGUUGAAAAGACCUGGAGCAAAGCAGUUGACUCAUCACGAUGCCAGACAAAACAAGGCCUCAACCUUCUUCGGAUUAGAAAAACUACCGACUACUGCUGGUCUACGGUGAGCCUCGGAAAUCAGU